GUGACCAAAUAUUCGCGAUACAUAGGAGCGCAUAUGCGUAGACACACGCACGCAUAUAAUCUAAUUAGAGUUUCACGUAAGGAAACAAUCUGACCUUCAGCAUCUAAGUUGAGACAACAAAUCAAGGAUAUUAGUGCAGUACAAGCAAGCAGUAAGUUAGGAGACCCCAGGGAAAGCCGUCCUCAUAAGCACUCCGGUUGUGCAAAGCGAGUUACAUUCAGGUAAACCCGGGCUGCAGUGCCUUCAGCUUUCUCGGAAGUUGAAAAAUGUUUAACUUCGCUUAACUCCGUGAAAGAGUCGCGGAAAAGCCCCUCCGCACUGUCAGAGGUCCGCUGGGAAGAGGGCAGCGCUUUCCCCGCCGCCUGGGCUGCUUUCUCCGGACGCCUCGCUAACGAGGAGCCAGCCGCAGCGUUUGCAGGGAGCCUUCCGCGAGGGCAGCUUUUCUUGCGCGGAAAUCUCUCUCCGCGAGGGAGAGGGCCUUUCGCAGGUCCUCCCCGCUGCCGCCUGAGCACCGGGGUGCCGAGCUCUAGACCCGCGGAAAGUUCAGCCAGGCGACGGAGCAGCACAGCAGCUCACCCGCCAUUUUAAAACCACACUUGUAGCUGUGCAAAAAAAAACUGUUCGGGGAAAUUCAGCUCGGAAAAUGCGGCCUAACCUCCCAUCACCGGGCGCGCAGCAAGAUGGCCACCUGGAGCUGCAUGGGGAGGCUGCUCAUGGAGUCCAGUGAACAGAGAGGGAUUCCCAGCUUCUGAGUGGUGGUGGUGAGCAUGGUGUCCGGGGCAGCUACCUGUUGUUGAGACAAACAGUCCGUGGUGAGAACUUGCAGCGGGGUGCUGCUCGGUCAGCCCUGGCAUGACUGAGGCCGGCAGGUCUCUGCGCCUGAAGAAGUCCCUACCUGCUGCCAGAGCCUGGGCUGGGUGAGACACGGGGACAGUUCCACGUAAAAUCCAUUCCCUGGCUGAAGAAAAAGCACUGAAACACAUUCCUAACCUGCACGUAUCCUGAUGCUGCUCACCUGAAGGAAAGAACAUCGUCUGCAGGUUUUACAUUGCGAAUGACGAAAGUGUAGGUUAAGGCUACAGGCUCUAUGCACUGAGGCCUUACAGGUCUUAAAAAGCUUAGGGCUUCAGCACAGAAGGAAGCAUCUACUUAAGUUUUUAAGAGGGCGGAUUGUGAACUUAAAAAAAGAAGAAACAUGGGGAAAGAGGGAGAAAUAGGGCAUCCGCUUUAAGAAAGAAAAACACAACUGUAAAUAUCUGCCCACAGGAUUACCACAGACCUCGGAUCCCGGCAAAAAAAAAAAAAAAAAAAAAAAUCCCACCAAUAAACGCGCAGUCUUACAAAAUAAAGCAACAAUUAAUUCUCUAACCAUCGUGUCAGAUACUCCGCGUUUCAAUACCUUGACUUACUGCUAGCUUGCCAAUGGGUGCUCGCUGCGGAGGGAGAGUCUGCGCCUUUCCAGUGCCGUGUAAAGCUCUCGGCGCGGAAUUUUGCCUUUCCAGAAAAGUUUAACAGUAUCGGCGAUCGAUCGCUUUUAUGUUAAUUAGUAAAACAAGAAAAUGUUUGGCAUUUUCAACCCAGUUAUUCUCAUGACAGAGACCACUAGCCAAUGAUCAGAAACG